AACGAACGCUGGCGGCGUGCCUAACACAUGCAAGUCGAGCGGGAAAGUUCCCUUCGGGGGGCGAGUACAGCGGCGAACGGGUGAGUAACACGUAGGUAACCUACCUCGGAGACUGGGAUAACUUGUCGAAAGGCGGGCUAAUACCAGAUAAGACCACGGAGGCCUCGGCUUCUGUGGGAAAAGAUGGCCUCUGCUUGCAUGCUAGUACUCCGAGAUGGGCCUGCGCACCAUUAGCUUGUUGGUGAGGUAACGGCUCACCAAGGCUUAGAUGGUUAGCUGGUCUGAGAGGAUGAUCAGCCACACUGGGACUGAGACACGGCCCAG
rnacentral:rRNA from 1 species